rnacentral:rRNA from 1 species
UCUGCCUGGUAGUGGGGGAUAACGUUCGGAAACGGACGCUAAUACCGCAUACGUCCUACGGGAGAAAGCAGGGGACCUUCGGGCCUUGCGCUAUCAGAUGAGCCUAGGUCGGAUUAGCUAGUUGGUGGGGUAAUGGCUCACCAAGGCGACGAUCCGUAACUGGUCUGAGAGGAUGAUCAGUCACACUGGAACUGAGACACGGUCCAGACUCCUACGGGAGGCAGCAGUGGGGAAUAUUGGACAAUGGGCGAAAGCCUGAUCCAGCCAUGCCGCGUGUGUGAAGAAGGUCUUCGGAUUGUAAAGCACUUUAAGUUGGGAGGAAGGGUUGUAGAUUAAUACUCUGCAAUUUUGACGUUACCGACAGAAUAAGCACCGGCUAACUCUGUGCCAGCAGCCGCGGUAAUACAGAGGGUGCAAGCGUUAAUCGGAAUUACUGGGCGUAAAGCGCGCGUAGGUGGUUUGUUAAGUUGGAUGUGAAAUCCCCGGGCUCAACCUGGGAACUGCAUUCAAAACUGACUGACUAGAGUAUGGUAGAGGGUGG